GGAGCCGUGCCUGAAUACCCAAGGACCACUUUGAUAGAGUGAUUUAUGAAGGUUAAAAUCCUUCCGACUCCU
rnacentral:tRNA from 1 species